rnacentral:rRNA from 1 species
UACGGAGGGAGCUAGCGUUGUUCGGAAUUACUGGGCGUAAAGGGCGCGCAGGCGGUCUUCCAAGUCGGAUGUGAAAGCCCCGGGCUCAACCUGGGAACUGCAUUCGAGACUGGGAGACUUGAGUUCGGGAGAGGAGAGCGGAAUUCCCAGUGUAGAGGUGAAAUUCGUAGAUAUUGGGAAGAACACCGGUGGCGAAGGCGGCUCUCUGGACCGAUACUGACGCUGAGGCGCGAAAAGCGUGGGGGAGCAAACAGG